rnacentral:rRNA from 1 species
AGGACGAACGCUGGCGGCGUGCUUAACACAUGCAAGUCGAACGGUAAGGCCCUUCGGGGUACACGAGUGGCGAACGGGUGAGUAACACGUGGGUGAUCUGCCCUGCACUUCGGGAUAAGCUUGGGAAACUGGGUCUAAUACCGGAUAUGACUACGAAUCGCAUGGUUUGUGGUGGAAAGCUUUUGCGGUGUGGGAUGGGCCCGCGGCCUAUCAGCUUGUUGGUGGGGUGAUGGCCUACCAAGGCGACGACGGGUAGCCGGCCUGAGAGGGUGUCCGGCCACACUGGGACUGAGAUACGGCCCAGACUCCUACGGGAGGCAGCAGUGGGGAUAUUGCACAAUGGGCGCAAGCCUGAUGCAGCGACGCCGCGUGAGGGAUGGACGGCCUUCGGGUUGUAACCUCUUUCAGUAUCGACGAGCGCAAGUGACGGUAGGUACAGAAGGAAGGACCGGCCAACGUACGCGCCAGCAGCCGCGGUAA